AUGACCCAAUCAGGUCCCUGCCCUGGAAUUUACACUUGGUUGCUAGGAGAGAGAACCUCUCCCUUUUUAAAAUCUGUUCUACCUAGACAAUGGGUUAAACUUGAACCCAUUCAGAGCAGCUCGGGGGCAUCAGUCUUUCCAAGACGUGUACCUUAGACAAUAAGGUUUAUUUGGAGCUGAGGAUCAAUUCCAAGGUCUCUUGUAAGCGAGGCAAGCAAACAAGGAACACUGAAGAGCAAGGCUUCAGACGGAGGAGAGGAAACAACUUGGCAAUGAGACAGAGAAAGGGGGAGGAGAGAUCGCAGACACCAUGAUUAUAGUUCAUUCCAGAUGAAGUCAAGUUGACAACCAAAAAACGGCUAUCCCAGAAACCAAGAUGAGAAAAAAGAAGACCAGGGUAGUGACCCCAGAACAGUGAAGAAUGAUGUCAGUUGGGCCAGUGAAAUAGAAG